UACGUAGGGUGCAGGCGUUAAUCGGAAUUACUGGGCGUAAAGCGUGCGCAGGCGGUUUGCUAAGACAGGUGUGAAAUCCCCGGGCUUAACCUGGGAACUGCGCUUGUAACUGGCAAGCCAGAGUGUGGCAGAGGGGGGUGGAAUUCCACGUGUAGCAGUGAAAUGCGUAGAGAUGUGGAGGAACACCGAUGGCGAAGGCAGCCCCCUGGGCUAACACUGACGCUCAUGCACGAAAGCGUGGGGAGCAAACAGG
rnacentral:rRNA from 1 species